AUUGAACGCUGGCGGAACGCUUUACACAUGCAAGUCGAACGGCAGCACGGGUGCUUGCACCUGGUGGCGAGUGGCGAACGGGUGAGUAAUACAUCGGAACGUACCCAGUUGUGGGGGAUAACUAACCGAAAGGUUAGCUAAUACCGCAUACGACCUGAGGGUGAAAGCGGGGGACCGUAAGGCCUCGCGCAAUUGGAGCGGCCGAUGUCUGAUUAGCUAGUUGGUAGGGUAAAGGCCUACCAAGGCGACGAUCAGUAGCUGGUCUGAGAGGAUGAUCAGCCACACUGGAACUGAGACACGGUCCAGACUCCUACGGGAGGCAGCAGUGGGGAAUUUUGGACAAUGGGCGAAAGCCUGAUCCAGCCAUUCCGCGUGAGUGAAGAAGGCCUUCGGGUUGUAAAGCUCUUUCGGCAGGGAAGAAACGGCCUAGGUUAAUACCUUGGGCUAAUGACGGUACCUGAAGAAGAGGCACCGGCUAACUACGUGCCAGCAGCCGCCGUAA
rnacentral:rRNA from 1 species